rnacentral:rRNA from 1 species
GGUUGCGAUCAUACCAGUAUUAAUGCAUCGGAUCCCAUUAGAACUCCGCAGUUAAGCAUGCUUGGGCGAGAGUAGUACUAGGAUGGGUUACCCCCUGGGAAGUCCUCGUGUUGCAACCCC